ACACAAUAUAUUACAUCACAUCUUCAGAAGAUAACAGCCUGUUGUUUUUGCAAGCUUUCACAGCAUGGCUGUUUUGUAAACAGUGCUAUGACAGCAAUGAUAGUUUGAUACCAGAAAGUGCUAAAAGAGGAAUCUGACGUCUACAGCGAGAGAAAUGUGUAGUGCCGUAUACGGUUUGCCGUUUAUUGUCGGUCACUGAAUUUGGUGUUUGUUACAUAAAGUAAUUAUUUUUCCGUGAAACAUACAUCGAGUUUGAUUAUACAUUGUUAGUAUCGGGUUGCAGUCCUGAAUGAAAGUUGAAUAAAAAAAGUUAUUCCUUUCUUCAGGCAUUAACCACUAUUUUCAAAGGAGCGCUGGAAUAACAAACUGUUUUGAAUUCAAGUGUUGCAGGUACCAUAUCCAUGGCACGCUCGAGACAUGAUAGUACUGGGUCCACACCUGUGGAACAGUACCGUAAGCAGAUAGACAAGACUCCAAAAAGAGCAAGGAGAUAAUGAGAGAGACAAAGCACAGGGCAGAAAAGAAGGAAAAUGCUCCUGCACAGUAUAAGGAGGUGAGCAUCAUGGUUGGAGCUAUGUUGGCACUAUGUGUCUGUGUAUAUUGCAUUUUUUAUGCUUUGCUUGCUGAUCGUUCACAUUAAGAACAAUAGUACUACACCGCACUAUUUGCUUGGUCUGAAAAAUGAUUGAUUCCUUGCUUUUAUACUUUAAGAAUAACAAGCUUACAUUUAUAAGACUAAAGUCUCCAAUUACACAGGUGUUAAGUAUCAAAUGAGUGUUUUUAUGACACCAUGACAUAUUGAAAUAAUGGAAAAUAACAUGACAUCUAUGAUCUCGUUUGGUAUUUUCUGUAUAAAUACAACAUAAAAUAUUUGUUGUUUGGAUUUUAUUAUAGUGGAAUCAAGUACUGUAAUUUGUUGGGAGAGAGACUGAUUAUACAUUACCAUAAGGAUGCCACAGUCGUGUAAAAGAUAUUUUUAAUGUGGUUUUAUAUAAGACUGUACUGUGGUGUUUCAAAUUUUGCUGAUGGCAUCAAAUUCCUAUUUUCUGUAAAAUUUUACAAAGUCAAAUAAACCUCCUCAGGAAAAAA
rnacentral:misc_RNA from 1 species